rnacentral:rRNA from 1 species
AGUGAACGCUGGCGGUAGGCCUAACACAUGCAAGUCGAACGGCAGCACAGUAAGAGCUUGCUCUUACGGGUGGCGAGUGGCGGACGGGUGAGGAAUACAUCGGAAUCUACUUUUUCGUGGGGGAUAACGUAGGGAAACUUACGCUAAUACCGCAUACGACCUACGGGUGAAAGCAGGGGAUCUUCGGACCUUGCGCGAUUGAAUGAGCCGAUGUCGGAUUAGCUAGUUGGCGGGGUAAAGGCAUACCAAGGCGACGAUGCGUAGCUGGUCUGAGAGGAUGAUCAGCCACACUGGAACUGAGACACGGUCCAGACUCCUACGGGAGGCAGCAGUGGGGAAUAUUGGACAAUGGGCGAAAGCCUGACCGAGCAAUGCCGCGUGGGUGAAGAAGGCCUUCGGGUUGUAAAGCCCUUUUGUUGGGAAAGAAAAGCAGUAGGUGAAAACCUCGCCGUUCUGACGGUACCCAAAGAAUAAGCACCGGCUAACUUCGUG